UACAGAGGGGGCAGGCGUUGUUCGGAAUUACUGGGCGUAAAGGGCGCGUAGGCGGCCCGCUAAGUCGAACGUGAAAUCCCCGAGCUCAACUCGGGAACUGCGUCCGAUACUGGUUGGCUUGAAUCCGGGAGAGGGAUGUGGAAUUCCAGGUGUAGCGGUGAAAUGCGUAGAUAUCUGGAGGAACACCGGUGGCGAAGGCGACAUCCUGGACCGGUAUUGACGCUGAGGCGCGAAAGCCAGGGGAGCAAACGGG
rnacentral:rRNA from 1 species